rnacentral:rRNA from 1 species
CCUACGGGAGGCAGCAGUGAGGAAUAUUGGUCAAUGGGCGCUAGCCUGAACCAGCCAAGUCGCGUGAAGGAUGACGGUCCUAUGGGUUGUAAACCUCUUUUAUCUGGGAAUAAAGUGCGGUACGUAUACCGCUUCGCAUGUACCCGAUGAAUAAGGAUCGGCUAACUCCGUGCCAGCAGCCGCGGUAAUACGGAGGAUCCGAGCGUUAUCCGGAUUUAUUGGGUUUAAAGGGAGCGCAGGCGGGUUGUUAAGUCAGUUGUGAAAGUUUGCGGCUCAACCGUAACAAUGCCGUUGAUACUGGCAUGCUUGAGUGCAGUAGAAGUAGGCGGAAUGCGUGGUGUAGCGGUGAAAUGCAUAGAUAUCACGAAGAACUCCGAUUGCGAAGGCAGCCUGCUGGAGUGUAACUGACGCUGAUGCACGAAAGUGUGGGUAUCGAACAGGAUUAGAUACCCGAGUAGUC